ACACAUGGGUGGCGACUGUCUAAAUAUAUUUUUCCUAACUUUUUAAUCAAGUGAAAAUACUUGUGCUAAUAAAAAAGACGAGAAGACCCUAGAAACUUGAAAAGUUUUUUGUUGGGGCGACAGAGUUACAUGUAACUAAUUUUAUUAAACAUGACAUUAAUUAGAAAGGAUAAGUUACUCUAGGGAUAACAGCAUAAUUUUAAUAGUUUGUGACCUCGAUGUUGGAUUAGGUACUAUACCCUUUAGGCAAGGGUAUAAGAUGCUCUGUUCGAGCAAAUACACCUACGUGA
rnacentral:rRNA from 1 species